rnacentral:antisense_RNA from 1 species
CUAUACGGGCGGGCUGUGGCGGGGGAGCCUUUCGGGGCUCGCCGGUUCGUGUGUACCGGUCUGUCAACCCUGUCUCAUGCUCGCCCACCCGA